UUUUUUUUUGUCAACUACACAUUAAUUAAAAAAUAAUAUCUCCAUGAUUGGUUACCCAAUUAGGAGGAAUAGUGUUUACAAAAGUAAUUUCAGAAAUUAAAAUUCUAGAAGAGCGGGCUAAGCAGUCCGCUCUUACAUUACAAGAAUGAGGGAUAAGGGAAAGAGAGAAAAAGGGGAAACAGAGAAAAAGGGGAAAGAGACGCGAAGCACUCGAAGAUCGUCUAGCAGAUUGGAGAAAGCGGGCCAUUCUUCAGGUGACUGUACCAUGAAAGCUAGCUCUGAACAAUCGGUUUCGAACGCCUGACAAAUGAUCCUUCUUGAAAGGAUACUUUUCAUAGCCCAAAUUAAAGCUUCUAACUCCUAAUGAAGUGGGGAGGUGCCCCUCCUAAGACUUUUAGCACCAAGCAAUAUCGUUUGAUCAUCUCCUUGAAAACACCACCAACCUAAACCCAUAUUUCGAUCUGAAGAUUUCCAUGAACCAUCAAACUGACAUCUUAUAGAUUGAGUUGGGUAGUCCAAAGAACUCGAAAUAGUGGUAGAGUCGAUCGGUUCCAACUGAGCUUCUUCCCACAUUAAUUUUUCACUCAUAGCGUGAUUUAAUAUAUUUGCGGGUUCAGAUUGUAUUCCUUUGAAAACUUUUUUAUUCCUAUCUUUCCAUAUGAACCACAAAAUCCAAGCGUAACAAUAUGUUUUCUCUCCCCCACCUGGAGGGAGUGGUAACCUCCAACAAAGAUAAUCUAGAUUUGAAAGUUCUGAACUUAGAGGAAAGUUUUCUGAUACCAUUGGUAUUUCAGAUAAUUCCCAAGUUUUAUUUUUAAACUUACAGCCCAAUUUUAUUUUUGUUAAGACUGUAGUAGAGUAAAUUUUCAGAGCCCUAUCUUCUUAGCUGUAGAAAUUUUAAUUCAUUAUAUAAUACAAGAAAUUGAAAUUACCAACAUAAAUAUAAAACCAAAAACAAUAAGUUCUAAAAAAACUGAUAAUUAUCAAACCUAAAAGAAAA
rnacentral:sRNA from 1 species